CCAUGAUUUAGUUUUCAUCUCAUUUUCAAAUUCAUAAAGAAACUCAAAUUUCUCUCUUCGCCAUCUCUUUUCUCCAUCGAUUUAAGAUAAUUUGAAGAUCACUUCAAUGUCUUCACAUGCUAAAACAAAGUUGAUGAAUCUUCAAUGAUACAUGAUAGAGUUGUAUUAAAGCUGCAGCAGACAAAUGGCAUCCUACAUCCACUGAUGGAAGAAUCAAAUUAUUUGGAACAUAUAACACUCAAGUUUUGCUGGAAUGUCCUGAGCCAGUACCAAGCAAGUUUUUACAGCUUUUGUGUCUAACUGACUUGGAGGUUGAUCACAUGAAUUCUUUUGAAGCAACAUCUGUUGUUAACGUGUGGAUUCUGCCUGAGUUUGUUUUGCAAGGGGUAGUUUGCAUUCUUUUCCUUCUGUCACGACAUUGGUUCCUGUUUCUCUUCUUUCUUCCACUUACUUGCUACCAUUUGAUGAAGUUCAAAUUUCUUCUCAUUUAUCAAUGGUCGAUGGCAAUGGUAUACUUCAUCCUUGAGGGGUGAGAAGAUGCGUAUUACAGAGGUCUGGCAUUCACCUAGAUAACCAGAAAAGGCAGUGAAGUGAGUCAACGGGAGUGCAAUAGCUCGCCAUUCUGGACUUGCUCCUUUGGACUAUGAUAGUUGGCGUAAGGUGCCUUACAAGAAGGAACUAUGAACAUACAUUCAGAAAAGGUACAUAGUUCUUGAGGAAGGCAAAAGAUGGAUUUUGAAAACUAACAGAGAUAAAUGAAGAGUUUAUUUUUGCAGAUUAAAGAAGAAUAAUUACAAGUUCAAGACCGAUUUUGGUGAACGUUUUCUGUUUAUGAUGUAAUGGAUGGAUAAUAUUUUCCGAUUUUGAAUUUUAUGAAUAUUUUCUGUUUUUUAAUUUUGGUGAAUAUUUUCUGUUA